UAUUCAUAAAAACAAUUCAUACUGCCACAAAAUAUAGAGGCAUAUAAAGUUUCUAGGAGACACUCCUGACUUGCUCAGUUUGGUGUUGGAGCCUCUUUCUUCCAUUAAUGGCAGUCGCAACUCUCUAUAAUACAAGGUAAACAUUUUUCUCCGCUUUCAAACUUUUCCCUCCACACCCAUCAUUGCCCCAAGACAGGACCCGCGACGCACGCAGUUCAUUGUUCAAUACCAACAGUGAAACCCAAAACCCAAACUUGAGAAACAGGGCCAUAUUUGGCAGUUUCAGGUUCGUCAUCUUUAUGUUUUUGUAAUCUAUAUGCUCUCUAAAUAUCUAAAAGAUUUGAGAUUUUAGGCUUCUCUUAAUUGCUUUGUUAUCAAGAUUCCCGUGAUCAUUUCCCUUCACUGCUUGUUUUCGACUCGACUAAACAUGCAAAGAAACACCAUGGUGACUUGGUCAGGUUUUCGACCUCGAUUUAUGUCAGGCUUUAAUACAAACAAAUUGCGGCUAUCUCAAGGGCGUGUUGGGACUGAGAUAGGAGCAUUAGGUUUUUCCAGUUCAAGCAUGUUUUCUCAAAAUUUGGCCCUUACGUUAUUUAAUUCACCUAAAAAUCCAUGUCAACACUUGGGAAGGCGUCUGAUUGUGAAAGCUGCUCAGGUGAGUGUUUGCCUUUUACCUUACAAUGAUGGUUCUUGUGAUAACAACUGUAGUUCUGUGAUCUUUCUUCUUGCUGGUUCUUUUGCCCUGCUUUCUGGUAUUUUGUUGCCAAACUGCAUGCAUAUUUAUUUCAGAUAAAAUUUGUUAUUGCAGGAUUAUUAUUCCAUUCUUGGGGUGUCUAAAAAUGCCAGCAAAUCAGACAUAAAAAGCGCUUAUCGAAAGCUUGCCAUGAGUUAUCAUCCUGAUGUGAACAAGUAAGUUAAAGUAUAAAUUUUUGCAUCUGUUCACAUUUUACUGGUAGCAGCUGGACUAUCAAAACUAUCAAGUAUCAAUCCCAUCCCUCUCCUGGGAAAAAGUCCAUUUUAUUAUUUGUUUUUGUUAAUGUAUUGCUACAAUGGGAUCAAACCAAGACGUAUUGGAUUCUUUCUUUCACGGUGUCGGCUGUGUGCUUGUCCUUUCAGACACUAAUGUGAGUACCGCAUUCCAUAUUUGUUAUAUUUGAAAAAUAAAAAGGAAAAGAAAAGGAGAGAAAAGCUUAACAUCCUUGUUACAGGUGUGCGGCCAAAGUUGUAUUGGCCAAUGGGUAUGUAUUGUUGUGGCAAAAAGCAUAAUAAAGUACGGAUUCAUUUAAACAUGAAUAUAGAUAACUGGGGCUUAUUUCAUUCUAUGCUCUCAUCAACUGCUAAUUAUUUUUGUUUGUUACUGCCAUAGGCAGUCUGGUUGAUUUGUUGCAGCAUUUGCUGCUCCUUGGAUGAAUAAAAAGCUUUACUUGUCCAAAAAAGGAAAAAAAAGAGAAUAGAGAUAGCUAACAUAUCUCUUUCAAUUUUAGUUUGUAUUUUACUUUUACUAGGGAUCCUACUAAAAAUAUUAGUUCUUUCGUGUUUGCCAAUCAGUGCUCGAAGUCUCAAGAUUGACUUGCCACCUUGAACCACAGUAAUUUGCAAGAAUCACUGAUUUAUUAUGUCUAUCACUUGCUAACUUGAGUACUUAACUAGUAUAUUGAUGUGCUUUAGUGAUUGCUAAUCAUGCUUUGAUUAGAUAACAAGAAGUGGCCAUUGAAAAUUGGGCAUUAUUAUAGCAAUUAGUAAGAUUGUAGCUGUUAAACUGCAAGUCUGCAACUGUCCAAACUUAAUCCCAAAUUAAGGCAAUGCUACGGAAACAGUAUCCAACAAAAGGGAAGGAACAACUAGUAGUAAGCUUGUAAAUGCUAUAUCCAGGACUGGCAGUCUUUGAAAAUUACUGGUGAUAUUUUAUUUGAGUCGGGAUACAUCCAUUCAUA